rnacentral:rRNA from 1 species
AUUGAACGCUGGCGGCAGGCUUAACACAUGCAAGUCGAGCGGGGAAGGGUAGCUUGCUACCUAACCUAGCGGCGGACGGGUGAGUAAUGAUUAGGAAUCUGCCAUUUAGUGGGGGACAACAUUCCGAAAGGAAUGCUAAUACCGCAUACGUCCUACGGGAGAAAGCAGGGGAUCUUCGGACCUUGCGCUAAAUGAUGAGCCUAAGUCGGAUUAGCUAGUUGGUGGGGUAAAGGCCUACCAAGGCGACGAUCUGUAACGGGUCUGAGAGGAUGAUCCGCCACACUGGGACUGAGACACGGCCCAGACUCCUACGGGAGGCAGCAGUGGGGAAUAUUGGACAAUGGGCGGAAGCCUGAUCCAGCCAUGCCGCGUGUGUGAAGAAGGCCUUAUGGUUGUAAAGCACUUUAAGCGAGGAGGAGGCUACUUAGAUUAAUACUCUAGGAUAGUGGACGUUACUCGCAGAAUAAGCACCGGCUAACUCUGUGCCAGCCGCCGCCGUAA